GCCAAACUCGGAUCUGAAUACAUAGAAACGGUCACCAAGUCAGGGGGAUCGUAAGUUUGACUCUUGACAAGCUAGAAGGAGACUUGGGCAAGGAACGGGUCAAACGGUUCGUGUAUGGGAAAAAGAGCAUAAUCGGAUGCAAGGACCGAUUAGCAAAUCAGAAAAAUCUCAUCACUAUUGAUUGUGUGAUAAUGAAAACAAUGUAUAAAUCGGGUCUACUUGUUGAUCCGGGCCAGGUACGCAUAUUCAUGUUGUAGUUUAAUAUGCUAUUUUGGUCGAAUAAAUGGGAAAGAGAGUCUUUCGUAGUAAAAAGAACAA